rnacentral:rRNA from 1 species
UGAGUACGAGAUGCUACGGCAUUGAAGCAGUCUAUGUCAUACUUCCAAGAAAAGCUUGCACUGUCAUAAAUAAACAAUGCCUGUACCAUAACCGACACAGGUGGGUAGGUAGAGUAUACUAAGGGGCGCGAGAUAACUCUCUCUAAGGAACUCGGCAAAAUGACUCCGUAACUUCGGGAGAAGGAGUGCCUUAUUCGUAAGGUUGCAAUAACAAGAUCCAAGCAACUGUUUAUCAAAAACACAGGUCUCCGCUAAGUCGCAAGACGAUGUAUGGGGGCUGACGCCUGCCCAGUGCCAGAAGGUUAAAGAAGUCGGUUAGCAUUUGCGAAGCUGGUAACUGAAGCCCUGGUGAACGGCGGCCGUAACUAUAACGGUCCUAAGGUAGCGAAAUUCCUUGUCGGGUAAGUUCCGACCCGCACGAAAGGCGUAAUGAUUUGGAUACUGUCUCGGAGAGGGACUCGGUGAAAUAGACUUGUCUGUGAAGAUGCGGACUACCUGCACCUGGACAGAAAGACCCUAUGAAGCUUUACUGUAACUUGAGAUUGAAAUUGGACUUUAUAUGCGCAGUAUAGGUGGGAGGCUAUGAAAAUCUUUUUGCGGAAAGAUUGGAGCCAUCAGUGAGAUACCACUCUUAUAAUGUUAGAUUUCUAACUUUGUAUCAUUAUCUGGUCAAAGAACAGUCUCAGGCGGGCAGUUUGACUGGGGCGGUCGCCUCCCAAACGGUAACGGAGGCGCACAAAGGUUUCCUCUGAACGGGUAGAAAUCGUAUCUAGAGUGUAAAGGCAUAAGGAAGCUUGACUGUGAGACCUACAAGUCGAGCAGGGACGAAAGUCGGUCUUAGUGAUCUGACGGUGCUGAGUGGAAAGGCCGUCACUCAACGGAUAAAAGUUACUCUAAGGAUAACAGGCUGAUCUCCCCCAAGAGUUCACAUCGACGGGGAGGUUUGGCACCUCGAUGUCGGCUCAUCGCAUCCUGGGGCGGUAGUACGUCCCAAGGGUUGGGCUGUUCGCCCAUGAAAGCGGUACGCGAGCUGGGUUCAGAACGUCGUGAGACAGUUCGGUCCAUAUCCGGUGUAGGCGUUAGAAUAUUGAGAGGAGCCUUCUUUAGUACGAGAGGACCGAGAAGGACAUACCUCUGGUGUACCAGUUAUCGUGCCAACGGUAAACGCUGGGUAGCUAUGUGUGGAGUGGAUAACCGCUGAAAGCAUCUAAGUGGGAAGCCCACCUCAAGAUAAGUA